rnacentral:rRNA from 1 species
GACGAACGCUGGCGGCGUGCCUAAUACAUGCAAGUUGAGCGCUGAAGGUUGGUACUUGUACCGACUGGAUGAGCAGCGAACGGGUGAGUAACGCGUGGGGAAUCUGCCUUUGAGCGGGGGACAACAUUUGGAAACGAAUGCUAAUACCGCAUAAAAACUUUAAACACAAGUUUUAAGUUUGAAAGAUGCAAUUGCAUCACUCAAAGAUGAUCCCGCGUUGUAUUAGCUAGUUGGUGAGGUAAAGGCUCACCAAGGCGAUGAUACAUAGCCGACCUGAGAGGGUGAUCGGCCACAUUGGGACUGAGACACGGCCCAAGCUCCUACGGGAGGCAGCAGUAGGGAAUCUUCGGCAAUGGACGAAAGUCUGACCGAGCAACGCCGCGUGAGUGAAGAAGGUUUUCGGAUCGUAAAACUCUGUUGGUAGAGAAGAACGUUGGUGAGAGUGGAAAGCUCAUCAAGUGACGGUAACUACCCAGAAAGGGACGGCUAACUACGUG